rnacentral:rRNA from 1 species
UGCCAGCCGCCGCGGUAAUACGGAGGGUGCAAGCGUUGUUCGGAAUUAUUGGGCGUAAAGCGCGUGUAGGCGGUUCGUUAAGUCUGGCGUGAAAGCCCGGGACUCAACCCCGGAAGUGCGUUGGAUACUGGCAGUCUUGAGUAUGGGAGAGGAAAGUGGAAUUCCGAGUGUAGGAGUGAAAUCCGUAGAUAUUGGGAAGAACACCAGUGGCGAAGGCGGCUAACUGGCUCGGUACUGACGCUGAGAUGCGAAAGCGUGGGGAGCAAACAGGAUUAGAUA